UGGGGAAUAUUGCACAAUGGGCGCAAGCCUGAUGCAGCCAUGCCGCGUGUGUGAAGAAGGCCUUCGGGUUGUAAAGCACUUUCAGCGAGGAGGAAGGUGGUGAACUUAAUACGUUCAUCAAUUGACGUUACUCGCAGAAGAAGCACCGGCUAACUCCGUGCCAGCAGCCGCGGUAAUACGGAGGGUGCAAGCGUUAAUCGGAAUUACUGGGCGUAAAGCGCACGCAGGCGGUUUGUUAAGUCAGAUGUGAAAUCCCCGGGCUCAACCUGGGAACUGCAUUUGAAACUGGCAAGCUAGAGUCUCGUAGAGGGGGGUAGAAUUCCAGGUGUAGCGGUGAAAUGCGUAGAGAUCUGGAGGAAUACCGGUGGCGAAGGCGGCCCCCUGGACGAAGACUGACGCUCAGGUGCGAAAGCGUGGGGCAGCAAACAGGAUUAGAUACCCUGGUAGUCCACGCUGUAAACGAUGUCGAUUUGGAGGUUGUGCCCUUGAGGCGUGGCUUCCGGAGCUAACGCGUUAAAUCGACCGCCUGGGG
rnacentral:rRNA from 1 species